rnacentral:rRNA from 1 species
GAAGGUGGCUAGCGUUGUUCGGUGUCACUGGGCUUAAAGCGUGUGUAGGCGGGAAAGGUAAGCGUCUUGUGAAAUCCCUCGGGCUUAACCGAGGAAUUGCUUGGCGAACUACCUUUCUUGAGGCAAGUAGGGGUGCAUGGAACUCUUGGUGGAGCGGUGGAAUGCGUAGAUAUCAAGAGGAACGCCAGUGGUGAAGACGGUGCACUGGGCUUGUCCUGACGCUGAGACACGAAAGCGUGGGGAGCGAACGGGAUUAGAUACCCCGGUAGUCCACGCCGUAAACGAUGUCUACUAGGUAGUGGAGUCUCUGACGUCUGCACUGCCGAAGCAAAAGUGUUAAGUAGACCGCCUGGGGAGUACGGUCGCAAGGCUA